AAAAGGGAACAGAGUUUUUGUUUUCUCUCUGUCAUCCUUAUGCUGAGGGACCUCAACCACCCCACUUAUUUUCUGGAUGUUAGUUUCUGCAUCUAUUAAAUGGAGAAUAUAAUGCUUGCAUGAUGUCUUUCCAGAAGCUGGUGAGAGAAAUGGACAGAGUUAGUAAUAUAAAAAUUAUAUGAAUAGGUCUAAAUAAUUGUGCAAAUAUCAGAGAACAUCAGUAAAAAUAUUUUCUUUUGGAUCUUGGUAUCCUCUUUAUUUCUUUUUUUUUUUUAUGUUUGAUCUGAGUCAACGAUUUGCUGUAGGGUCGCUGAUAUUUUCCUAAAGGUCAUGUUUAAUGAGUAGCAAAUCAAGGCAGAAAAAGAACACCCUGAUCUCAGACAUGUCCUACAGAGAGGCCCGUCACCCAGGUUUGUGCUUAAACUCAACAUCUUGACAAUCCUAGUCAGUCAACAGGAAAAGACAAGACGAUACUGUAUGAAAGUCUGACCAACAUAAAGGGUGCUACAAGGAUGCCCCCAAGGCUCAGGAUGUUGGAGAGUUGAGGCACCAUGAGUAACCACAAUGCAGAAUGAAGAAUAGUUCUUCUGGUGUGAGGAUCCACUGGGUUGCCACUGACCCAUUGCCUGAGGGUAUGCGAUGAAACCAGAAUCAGCAACUGUAGAUGGCAGCUCAGAAGGGGAAACGACACAUCUAAUAACCAACAGGAAUGGCUAUUAAUUAGCUGAAAUGACAAUAAUUAACAGAAAUGACAAGUCUAAUAAAUUUUCACUUAAGUGUUGUCACAUGGCACUUUGAGUUUUAGCUUUCCAUUUUAAAUAUUAAUCUCGGUGGGGUUUACUUUAGAUGAAGAGUCAUAUCAAGUAUGACUAUGGAAAUAAUUCUGUACAGACACUCCAUCAAAUUAUGUUUAAUCCAUUUCACUUAUGCUAUGAUCAGUAGAGAGUGUAUUAAAAGCUCACAUUGUCACCCUAAAAAUAUAUUCUUUUUGUGUGUAUCUAAUUUAUGCUGCUCAGAAACAUUCAGCCACAGGGAUCAGAGGGAAGGUGGUUGUUUUUAAUUUUCUUUGAUAUCUUCAAAGAUAGGAAAGUCUCACCCCUCUGCUCUUUCCCCCUCUUCAGCAACAGACAAAGAAGGUUAAAUCUUAUUAGCAUGUCCUAUAUAGCUAGUUGUAACCUAAGUGACCUGUCAUGGCACUAAAUGCCUACUAGAACUUUCUCUGUACUUGCAAGAUGGAAAUUUUAUGCAUCAAUGCUUUUAUGUAUGCAUCUGAUUUGGGAAGUUCACUGCUUUAUGGAUAUGAACAUUGUGAUCAAGUAAAUUGAUCUACAUAAUGGGAUUUUGUGUGUGUGCGUGCAUAUAUCUAUAUGGAUAUGGAUGUAUGCAAGUGUAUUCUAAGAGGAAAUAUAAUACAUGAAAUGUUAACUUUAAUGAUAUGAAAUGCAUUAAAUUCAAACUAUCUUGCAUGUGUAUGCAGAUGCAUUAUGUCUCUAUCAUUGUACUCUGCAGGGAUUUAAGGUAGAAAAAAUUCAUCGUAUUCUCUGAUGUGCCAUGCUAAAUAAGA
rnacentral:lncRNA from 1 species